CGCUUAUCGGCUACCGUAGAGCGUGCUCGNGCNCAUGAAGGUNCUUGNGCCUNGAUUCACGGCGGACGGGGGANUAAUGCCUNNGAAUCUGCCUGGUAGUGGGGGACAACGUUUCNAAAGGAACGCUAAUACCGCNUACGUCCUACGGGAGAAAGCNGGGGACCUUCGGGCCUUGCGCUAUCAGAUGAGCCUAGGUCGGAUUAGCUUGUUGGUGAGGUAAUGGCUCACCAAGGCGACGAUCCGUAACUGGUCUGAGAGGAUGAUCAGUCACACUGGAACUGAGACACGGUCCAGACUCCUACGGGAGGCAGCAGUGGGGAAUAUUGGACAAUGGGCGAAAGCCUGAUCCAGCCAUGCCGCGUGUGUGAAGAAGGUCUUCGGAUUGUAAAGCACUUUAAGUUGGGAGGAAGGGUUGUAGAUUAAUACUCUGCAAUUUUGACGUUACCGACAGAAUAAGCACCGGCUAACUCUGUGCCAGCAGCCGCGGUAAUACAGAGGGUGCAAGCGUUAAUCGNAAUUACUGGGCGUAAAGCGCGCGUAGGUGGUUUGUUAAGUUGGAUGUGAAAGCCCCGGGCUCAACCUGGGAACUGCAUCCAAAACUGGCAAAGCNAGAGUACGGUAGAGGGUGGUGGAAUUUCNUGUGUAGCGGUGAAAUGCGUAGAUAUAGGAAGGAACACNNGUGGCGAAGGCGACCACCUGGACUGNUACUGNA
rnacentral:rRNA from 1 species